GCUUCUACAUGUGUGUCGUCAACAAAAUUCAGUAAAAAUCCAAACUUCAAAAAAAAAAAAAAUUAUUAUUAUUUUCUUUUUUUUUGUAGAUUCAUGCGUCUGAGUAGUCUGGAUGUCUUAGUUGUGUGAUUUGGUAGUCGGAUAUAUGCCAUUCAUUAAAAUUCAGAACACGACUGUAUUUGAAAUGUCUCAUGUUGUCACAUACAGUCAGUGACAAAAUUAUUGGCACCCAUAAUGAUGACGAUGUAAAAAGUAAUAUCACAAGCAGUGAGUGAUACUUAUUAACAAAUGCAUAGCAGAAAGAAUAUAAAAAAUAUACGGGAAUCCGUAUAGUUUUACUGUAGCGCAUUAUCCCCCCACCACACACACACACUUUUUCUACAGACCAUGGUUUCAAAAGUUUUGGCACCCCACAUUUAAUACGUGCCGAACCCUCUGCUGAGUUUCUUCCUGUACAGUUUAACAAGCUCAGAGUCCUGCGUAGAGGAUUUUGGUUCCCUUCUCCGUGCACGACAUUUGAAUCUCCUUCAGUUCACACUACAGGUGUUUAAGAGGAUUCAAAUCGGGACACUGAGAACCCUUAACCCUUAAAACCCAUCUUUUUACACCAUUUAAAAAAAGAGGUUCGUGAGAAUGUUUUGUUAAUGGAAGGUUAGUAGAUGAAAAAUGUUUAAAACGGUGUGUGUGUGUGGUUUUUUUGCUUGUUUGCCAAUAAUUCAGGACUUGACUGUAUGAAGAAUGGCAAACAUGGAAUAUUUUGAAAUGCAAAAAGAUUUUAUCCAAAGGUAGAGAAUAAAACCGAGUGCGCCCUCUACUGGUCAUCAAGAUUUUCUCAAGCAUUUAUUUCUGAGAAGAAGAAGAAGAAGAAGUAGAGAAGCAAAAUGACAGUAUUUAUCCGUGACCAAGCCUGUUCAUGGACUGAAUGUGGUGUUGUAGAAGAGCGAGCACUGAGUGAUUGACACUCCUGAUUGAUCCCACUGAUGCAUUUCCACCUCCUCAGCACAGCGACCCUACAGAGAUAUAAACAUGCCUUCAGCCUUUUCGAUUUGAACCCGAGCGUAGCAUAAGCGAGGAGGAUAAUAUAGAAGACGUUACUCAAAACGUCCAUGAGGAUGAAGACGAUCAGAGAGGAGAGGAGGCGAGAGUGGCGCAAAAUCCACGGUGUCUGUGCAGCAACUGCACGUCUACGCCAGCCGAGAGAGUUUGUUAUUCAAGGUUGGGGGAAAAAACCCAGAGUGAAGCCUCCGGGGGCCGGGUCUCUCACACCUUAAAGUUCAAGAAACGCCCCUGUUGCCAACCCUGGACCUGGAGAACCCUCUGUCCUUCACAUUUUAGUUUGUACUUCCUCCAUCACUUCCUCUAUCCUUUUUUUUUAAGAAAAAAAAACUAAUUUGUGUGCAUUUUAGACGGAGAAUGGUAUUUUCAUGAGAAACUGGAUCUGAGAAGUAACGAGACAAGAAUACAUCAGAGACACCAGCACGUCCUGUUCUAAACCGCCGGAGAUUAAAGUCUGUUCCAUUGUUUUAAAUGUUAGAAAUGUUAGGAAACUGCGUUUUUUUU
ensembl:lncRNA